CAUAAAAGUAAAUUGGGCAUUAAAUAAAAAACACAAUCAUCAAUUUAUUCUCGGUUUAUUUCAUUUGUAGUAGACAUUUCGUAGUAGUCUCAGUUAGAAGGCAUAGUAAAAUAGAUCGUCAAAAUUAAAUUAAGAAUAACCUGUGACUACUAGUAAUAGUAUUAUAUUAUGGCAGUGCAAUAGUCUCAUGCAGGAAUAUUAACCCAAGUAAAAUAGAUAAGUUUGUAAAUUUAAC
rnacentral:lncRNA from 1 species